UAAAUUUAGAGUCCAAUUUUUGAAAAGGCCAAAAUGAGCUCUCCUAGCAUGAAGUGUGUCAGGACAAUAGGAGAUACAAACCUCAGAGGGCAGCUAACAGAGAGGGGGUGAAGAUGGGCUCCUUUGUAGCCAGAGAAACUGAGAGAGAGAGAGAGAGAGAGAGAGAGAGAGAGAGAGAGAGAGAGGGAGAGAGAGAGAAACCAGGCUUCUUUCUUUCUUCCUUUUAUUUCCUUUAAAUGUAAUAUCUUUUCAAAGUAAGCCUUUGAAGGAGUUGAGUAUCACACCCUCUGCUCUCUCUGCCCUGCUGCCUUUUAGACAUUGUUGUACCAGAGAAACAUUCAGCGCACUGUGGAGAAGCCAUGGGGUAAGUCUUCAUUUCCUCCUCUACACUCAGCCCCUAUCUGACUCCACGUGGACCAGCAGUUCUCAACCUGUGGGUUGCAACCCCACAUAUCAGAUAUCCUGCACAUUAGAUAUUUGCAUUACAAGUCACAACACUAUGGAAAUUACAGUUAUGAAGUAGCAAUGAAACUAUUUAUGCCUGCAGCUCACUACAACACGAGGAACUGUGGUAAAGGGUCACAGUGUUAGGAAGGUUGAGGACCACUGAUGUGGACUAAAGCUUGCUCCCAUCUGAGAGGACAUUUCAUGGCAGGAAGGAUACAGACAACCCACUGCAGUGGGCACUUUGUUAGCUCAAGGAAACUCAGGGGACCGAUGCUAUGAUGUCUGAUCUCCAUUGCCCACUAGACUGCAGACUCCCUUAAGUGACUGGUGAGGCACAUCUCUGGGUAUGUUUGAAACAGUGUUUACAGAGAGGAUUAAGUGAGAGGGGAAGACUGAAUGUGAACUGUACCGUGUCAUGGACUGGAGGUCUGGAGCAGAGUAAAAGGAAGAAAGGAGAAGCCAGUUGAGCAUCAGCAUCUGUCUUCUCUCUGCCUCCUACUCGAUGUGAGAUAAAGAAUUUCCUCUGCAUACAAUCCUGCCACUGUAAUAUUCUGCCCAAUUGCACAAGACAAACAACCAUGGCUUCUGGACCCUCUGACACCACGAGCCUAUACAAAUCCUUCCUCCGUUAGGUCAGUCCUUUGUGACUCCUCAUCGGGUGGCUUCCAUUCAUCUGGAGCACACAGGGCCACUAAGCCUUCAUCCAGCAGCUGGUGGAAGUAGAAGCAGACACCCACAACUAAUCACUGCACUGAACUGGAAUCCAGAUGCAGAGAAGGACGAGUGAAGAGCAAAGGGGUCCAGACCAGGCUGGUGAAACCCACAGAAACAGCUGACCUGAACAUCGGGGAGCUCUUGGUCCCCAGACUGAUAGCUGGGGAUACCAGCAUUGACUGAUCCAGACCCCAGGAACAUGGGUUUCAGUAAGGAAGCCUCAGAAAUCUACAGGACCUACUGUAGUAGUUCAGUACUUAUCCCUAGCAUAGGUGUGGACUUUGGGAGCCCAUUCCACAUAGAGGAAUACUCCCUGAGCCAAGACACACGGGAGGUGGGCCUAGGCCCUAUCCCAAAAGAUAAAAUAAACUCUGAUGACACCCUAUGGAAGGCCUCACCAUCCAGGGGGAGCAGAAAGGAUAUGUGAUAGGUAGGGUUUUAGUUGGGGG
rnacentral:lncRNA from 1 species